ACCCCAAUCCUAUAAACACCAGCAUAAUCAACCAGGGGAUCUGAGGGCCUGCUGUCUGAUGCAGCUCUAAAAGAGGCUGCCCCGACAAGCCAUGGACUAUAAUUAAUAAAUACAUUCUUCAUCUGUAGCAAACAUGUUCUGUUAUCUGUAGGUAUCUGGCAUGUGAUAACACCAAUUAUAUUUUCCUCAGAGUGCAGCUGUAAGUGGCCGCAGAAGAUAAAAAGUGAUGAGGCUCCCCGGGACGCAGAGGUGGAAAUGAUGCAGUCAGAGGGAAAAGGCAACCCCGACCGCCCUCUGGUGGGUCUCCAGCAGGAGCUCGCAGGGCCCGGGAUGCAGAAUUCCACUGCGGGAGGGAGGUCAAGGCCACCUUCUCCCCUGCUGCCCUGCAGAGCUUCCUGGGCUGGAGCUAAAUGAAGGUGAUGAUGAUAAGUAAAAUAAAGUGAUGUUUGCCAGCACAUAUGUGAAUGGCAGGACAGAUGCCUCCAUGCUGGUCCUUGGCAGAUGGUCCUGGGGAAUUAUUGACUCGAUCCAGAGCGAGUGGCAAGUCCUCUCUGGCUGGCUUGUCCAGGAAUUCUUCAACCACUGCAUCAACGCUUUUCUUCCAAAGCACUGAUUUUCCUGUAGCAAGGUGAGCAGCAUUCUCUUUGAAGGAACCUCUCCUGCUGCAGGACAGCGAUGUGGAACACAGCAGCAAGCAAGAGGUGCACUUCCCCCACUGAAAUAUCCUUUUCAUGUCUCACAGCCAUUCCCCUGAGCAGGGACAUCUCUGGAUCCAAUGAAUGGAAAAGCAAACUGUUGCGUGGCUGUAUGGGAACUCUAAAUCCAAUUAUUAGAUUGCCACAAUCUGUGGAAAGAAAGGAAAAUAAAGCACAAACCAUGAAAUAGCC